GCAGUCGAGCGGACCGAAGGGAGCUUGCUCCUUUAGGUUAGCGGCGGACGGGUGAGUAACACGUGGGCAACCUGCCCUGCAGACUGGGAUAACUUCGGGAAACCGGAGCUAAUACCGGAUAACACCGAAAACCGCAUGGUUUUCGGUUGAAAGGCGACUUUUAGCUGUCACUGCAGGAUGGGCCCGCGGCGCAUUAGCUAGUUGGUGAGGUAACGGCUCACCAAGGCGACGAUGCGUAGCCGACCUGAGAGGGUGACCGGCCACACUGGGACUGAGACACGGCCCAGACUCCUACGGGAGGCAGCAGUAGGGAAUCUUCCGCAAUGGACGAAAGUCUGACGGAGCAACGCCGCGUGAGCGAAGAAGGUCUUCGGAUCGUAAAGCUCUGUUGUCAGGGAAGAACAAGUGCCGUUCGAACAGGGCGGUACCUUGACGGUACCUGACGAGGAAGCCACGGCUAACUACGUGCCAGCAGCCGCGGUAAU
rnacentral:rRNA from 1 species